UGGGGAAUAUUGGACAAUGGGCGAAAGCCUGAUCCAGCCAUGCCGCGUGUGUGAAGAAGGUCUUCGGAUUGUAAAGCACUUUAAGUUGGGAGGAAGGGCAGUAAGCGAAUACCUUGCUGUUUUGACGUUACCGACAGAAUAAGCACCGGCUAACUCUGUGCCAGCAGCCGCGGUAAUACAGAGGGUGCAAGCGUUAAUCGGAAUUACUGGGCGUAAAGCGCGCGUAGGUGGUUCGUUAAGUUGAAUGUGAAAGACCCGGGCUCAACCUGGGAACUGCAUCCAAAACUGGCGAGCUAGAGUAGGGCAGAGGGUGGUGGAAUUUCCUGUGUAGCGGUGAAAUGCGUAGGUAUAGGAAGGAACACCAGUGGCGAAGGCGACCACCUGGGCUCAUACUGACACUGAGGUGCGAAAGCGUGGGGAGCAAACAGG
rnacentral:rRNA from 1 species